rnacentral:rRNA from 1 species
AGUGAACGCUGGCGGUAGGCCUAACACAUGCAAGUCGAACGGCAGCACAGUAAGAGCUUGCUCUUACGGGUGGCGAGUGGCGGACGGGUGAGGAAUACAUCGGAAUCUACUUUUUCGUGGGGGAUAACGUAGUGAAACUUACGCUAAUACCGCAUACGACCUACGGGUGAAAGCGGGGGAUCUUCGGACCUUGCGCGAUUGAAUGAGCCGAUGUCGGAUUAGCUAGUUGGCGGGGUAAAGGCCCACCAAGGCGACGAUCCGUAGCUGGUCUGAGAGGAUGAUCAGCCACACUGGAACUGAGACACGGUCCAGACUCCUACGGGAGGCAGCAGUGGGGAAUAUUGGACAAUGGGCGCGAGCCUGAUCCAGCCAUACCGCGUGGGUGAAGAAGGCCUUCGGGUUGUAAAGCCCUUUUGUUGGGAAAGAAAAGCAGCAGGUUAAUACCCCGCUGUUCUGACGGUACCCAAAGAAUAAGCACCGGCCAACUUCGUG